rnacentral:rRNA from 1 species
GACGAACGCUGGCGGCGUGCCUAACACAUGCAAGUCGAACGGGAUCCUGGCUUCGGUCAGGUGAGAGUGGCGGACGGGUGAGUAACGCGUGGGAACCUGCCCAGUGGUGGGGGAUAACUGCGGGAAACUGCAGCUAAUACCGCAUGAGCCCGAGAGGGGAAAGAUUUAUCGCCAUUGGAGGGGCCCGCGUUCGAUUAGGUAGUUGGUGAGGUAACGGCUCACCAAGCCGACGAUCGAUAGCUGGUCUGAGAGGAUGAUCAGCCACACUGGAC